rnacentral:rRNA from 1 species
GUUGUAUGGUUAAGUGACUAAGCGUACACGGUGGAUGCCUUGGCAGUUGGAGGCGAUGAAGGACGUACUAACUUGCGAUAAGCCUAGUUGAGCCAGUAAGAGGCACUUGAGACUAGGAUUUCCGAAUGGGGAAACCCGGCCCUUUGGGUCAUCAUGCAGUGAAUACAUAGCUGUAUGAAGCGAACGCGGAGAACUGAAACAUCUAAGUACCCGUAGGAAAAGAAAUCAACCGAGAUUCCGAAAGUAGCGGCGAGCGAAAUCGGAUUAGCCCUUAAGCUUUAAUGUAGUUAGUGGAACAUUCUGGAAAGUAUGACGAUACAGGGUGACAGUCCCGUACACGACAACUUAUUUAAAGUGAAAUCGAGUAGGUCGGAGCACGUGAAACUUUGACUGAAUAUGGGGGGACCAUCCUCCAAGGCUAAAUACUCCCAACUGACCGAUAGUGAACCAGUACCGUGAGGGAAAGGCGAAAAGAACCCCUGUGAGGGGAGUGAAAUAGAACCUGAAACCGUGUACGUACAAGCAGUAGGAGCCCUUCGAGGGUGACUGCGUACCUUUUGUAUAAUGGGUCAGCGACUUAUAUUCUGUAGCAAGGUUAACCAUUUAGGGGAGCCGUAGCGAAAGCGAGUCUUAACUGGGCGCUUAAGUUGCAGGGUAUAGACCCGAAACCCGGUGAUCUAGCCAUGGGCAGGUUGAAGGUCAGGUAACACUGACUGGAGGACCGAACCCACUAACGUUGAAAAGUUAGGGAUGACCUGUGGCUAGGAGUGAAAGGCUAAUCAAACCGGGAGAUAGCUGGUUCUCCCCGAAAUCUAUUUAGGUAGAGCCUCGGACGAAUACUUACGGGGUAGAGCACUGUUAAGGCUAGGGGGUCAUCCCGACUUACCAACCCUUUGCAAACUCCGAAUACCGUAAAGUACUAUCCGGGAGACACACGGUGG